CGACGGUGAAGCCCAGCUUGCUGGGUGGAUCAGUGGCGAACGGGUGAGUAACACGUGAGCAACCUGCCCCUGACUCUGGGAUAAGCGCUGGAAACGGCGUCUAAUACUGGAUACGAGCAAGAACCGCAUGGUUACUUGUUGGAAAGAUUUUUUGGUUGGGGAUGGGCUCGCGGCCUAUCAGCUUGUUGGUGAGGUAAUGGCUCACCAAGGCGUCGACGGGUAGCCGGCCUGAGAGGGUGACCGGCCACACUGGGACUGAGACACGGCCCAGACUCCUACGGGAGGCAGCAGUGGGGAAUAUUGCACAAUGGGCGGAAGCCUGAUGCAGCAACGCCGCGUGAGGGAUGACGGCCUUCGGGUUGUAAACCUCUUUUAGCAAGGAAGAAGCGAAAGUGACGGUACUUGCAGAAAAAGCGCCGGCUAACUACGUGCCAGCAGCCGCGGUAAUACGUAGGGCGCAAGCGUUAUCCGGAAUUAUUGGGCGUAAAGAGCUCGUAGGCGGUUUGUCGCGUCUGCUGUGAAAUCCCGAGGCUCAACCUCGGGCCUGCAGUGGGUACGGGCAGACUAGAGUGCGGUAGGGGAGAUUGGAAUUCCUGGUGUAGCGGUGGAAUGCGCAGAUAUCAGGAGGAACACCGAUGGCGAAGGCAGAUCUCUGGGCCGUAACUGACGCUGAGGAGCGAAAGGGUGGGGAGCAAACAGGCUUAGA
rnacentral:rRNA from 1 species